AGAGUUUGAUCCUGGCUCAGGAUGAACGCUGGCGGCGUGCCUAAUACAUGCAAGUCGAGCGAACGGACGAGAAGCUUGCUUUUCUGAUGUUAGCGGCGGACGGGUGAGUAACACGUGGAUAACCUACCUAUAAGACUGGGAUAACUUCGGGAAACCGGAGCUAAUACCGGAUAAUAUUUUGAACCGCAUGGUUCAAAAGUGAAAGACGGUCUUGCUGUCACUUAUAGAUGGAUCCGCGCUGCAUUAGCUAGUUGGUAAGGUAACGGCUUACCAAGGCAACGAUGCAUAGCCGACCUGAGAGGGUGAUCGGCCACACUGGAACUGAGACACGGUCCAGACUCCUACGGGAGGCAGCAGUAGGGAAUCUUCCGCAAUGGGCGAAAGCCUGACGGAGCAACGCCGCGUGAGUGAUGAAGGUCUUCGGAUCGUAAAACUCUGUUAUUAGGGAAGAACAUAUGUGUAAGUAACUGUGCACAUCUUGACGGUACCUAAUCAGAAAGCCACGGCUAACUACGUGCCAGCAGCCGCGGUAAUACGUAGGUGGCAAGCGUUAUCCGGAAUUAUUGGGCGUAAAGCGCGCGUAGGCGGUUUUUUAAGUCUGAUGUGAAAGCCCACGGCUCAACCGUGGAGGGUCAUUGGAAACUGGAAAACUUGAGUGCAGAAGAGGAAAGUGGAAUUCCAUGUGUAGCGGUGAAAUGCGCAGAGAUGUGGAGGAACACCAGUGGCGAAGGCGACUUUCUGGUCUGUAACUGACGCUGAUGUGCGAAAGCGUGGGGAUCAAACAGGAUUAGAUACCCUGGUAGUCCACGCCGUAAACGAUGAGUGCUAAGUGUUAGGGGGUUUCCGCCCCUUAGUGCUACAGCUAACGCAUUAAGCACUCCGCCUGGGGAGUACGACCGCAAGGUUGAAACUCAAAGGAAUUGACGGGGACCCGCACAAGCGGUGGAGCAUGUGGUUUAAUUCGAAGCAACGCGAAGAACCUUACCAAAUCUUGACAUCCUUUGACAACUCUAGAGAUAGAGCCUUCCCCUUCGGGGGACAAAGUGACAGGUGGUGCAUGGUUGUCGUCAGCUCGUGUCGUGAGAUGUUGGGUUAAGUCCCGCAACGAGCGCAACCCUUAAGCUUAGUUGCCAUCAUUAAGUUGGGCACUCUAAGUUGACUGCCGGUGACAAACCGGAGGAAGGUGGGGAUGACGUCAAAUCAUCAUGCCCCUUAUGAUUUGGGCUACACACGUGCUACAAUGGACAAUACAAAGGGCAGCGAAACCGCGAGGUCAAGCAAAUCCCAUAAAGUUGUUCUCAGUUCGGAUUGUAGUCUGCAACUCGACUACAUGAAGCUGGAAUCGCUAGUAAUCGUAGAUCAGCAUGCUACGGUGAAUACGUUCCCGGGUCUUGUACACACCGCCCGUCACACCACGAGAGUUUGUAACACCCGAAGCCGGUGGAGUAACCUUUUAGGAGCUAGCCGUCGAAGGUGGGACAAAUGAUUGGGGUGAAGUCGUAACAAGGUAGCCGUAUCGGAAGGUGCGGCUGGAUCACCUCCUUU
rnacentral:rRNA from 1 species